ACUGCACAUUAUUAAAACCUGGGAGCUGGGGCCAGUAUCUUGGUCAGUGAACUCUCAAGUGUCGGAAAUGUGCUACAAUAAAUCUGGCAGGUUUUUCGCUAACACCACAAGGGUCCAUGUGACUCGAUGAGUGGGGUUUGAUAGUAAUCCUUGUCACAAUU